rnacentral:misc_RNA from 1 species
UUUAAGCUUGAGUGCUGCAGUAACAAGCCCAGAUUCAGGAGUCCAUGGAUUAGAUAGCAAUUUGAUUUUUGCAGGGAUCUCAAACUUCUCUAAUCGAGCCUUCUUUGCUUCCUUUAUGAGUGAUGCUUGGACUUCCUUCACUACCUCUUCUUUACGACAGAGUUCAGCGAAGUCACUUGUAUCAAUUCCUUGCUUAGAAGCCCAUUCUUCUACUGCAUGUUGAGAGGCCACAACAAGAGCAACACAGAAACUAUGAAAGGGAUCAGCGUGCAGCAUAAUAUUGUCAACAUAAGGGCUCACACUGAGUGCAGCUUCAACCUUCCCCAAAG